rnacentral:lncRNA from 1 species
AUCAUCUUCUAAAAGGCCGGCACAUAGUGGUUUUUCUGAUUCGUUUUAUGAUUUAAAUUGUUGGAACAGUGUUGAUGAGAGAACUUACACAUCAACUUAUCGGGAAGAGCUGAAAUAUUAUCUUCGGACGGCACCAGAGGAUCGCAGACGACGGAUCAACACGUUGGAUUGGUGAAGGAGUAAUGAAACACAAUAUCCUGUGCUUUCAAGAUUAGCU